rnacentral:rRNA from 1 species
CGGCAAUGGACGAAAGUCUGACCGAGCAACGCCGCGUGAGUGAAGAAGGUUUUCGGAUCGUAAAGCUCUGUUGUAAGUCAAGAACGUGUGUGAGAGUGGAAAGUUCACACAGUGACGGUAGCUUACCAGAAAGGGACGGCUAACUACGUGCCAGCAGCCGUGGUAAUACGUAGGUCCCGAGCGUUGUCCGGAUUUAUUGGGCGUAAAGGGAGCGCAGGCGGUCAGGAAAGUCUGGAGUAAAAGGCUAUGGCUCAACCAUAGUGUGCUCUGGAAACUGUCUGACUUGAGUGCAGAAGGGGAGAGUGGAAUUCCAUGUGUAGCGGUGAAAUGCGUAGAUAUAUGGAGGAACACCAGUGGCGAAAGCGGCUCUCUGGUCUGUCACUGACGCUGAGGCUCGAAAGCGUGGGUAGCGAACAGGAUUAGAUACCCUGGUAGUCCACGCCGUAAACGAUGAGUGCUAGGUGUUAGGCCCUUUCCGGGGCUUAGUGCCGGAGCUAACGCAAUAAGCACUCCGCCUGGGGAGUACGACCGCAAGGUUGAAACUCAAAGGAAUUGACGGGGGCCCGCACAAGCGGUGGAGCAUGUGGUUUAAUUCGAAGCA